rnacentral:rRNA from 1 species
GAUGAACGCUGACGGCGUGCCUAAUACAUGCAAGUCGAGCGAACGGACGAGAAGCUUGCUUCUCUGAUGUUAGCGGCGGACGGGUGAGUAACACGUGGAUAACCUACCUAUAAGACUGGGAUAACUUCGGGAAACCGGAGCUAAUACCGGAUAAUAUUUUGAACCGCAUGGUUCAAAAGUGAAAGACGGUCUUGCUGUCACUUAUAGAUGGAUCCGCGCUGCAUUAGCUAGUUGGUAAGGUAACGGCUUACCAAGGCAACGAUGCAUAGCCGACCUGAGAGGGUGAUCGGCCACACUGGAACUGAGACACGGUCCAGACUCCUACGGGAGGCAGCAGUAGGAAAUCUUCCGCAAUGGGCGAAAGCCUGACGGAGCAACGCCGCGUGAGUGAUGAAGGUCUUCGGAUCGUAAAACUCUGUUAUUAGGGAAGAACAUAUGUGUAAGUAACUGUGCACAUCUUGACGGUACCUAAUCAGAAAGCCACGGCUAACUACGUG